rnacentral:rRNA from 1 species
CACGAACGCUGGCGGCAGGCUUAACACAUGCAAGUCGAGCGCCCCGCAAGGGGAGCGGCAGACGGGUGAGUAACGCGUGGGAAUCUACCCAUCUCUACGGAAUAACGCAUGGAAACGUGUGCUAAUACCGUAUACGUACUUCGGGAGAAAGAUUUAUCGGAGAUGGAUGAGCCCGCGUUGGAUUAGCUAGUUGGUGGGGUAAGGGCCUACCAAGGCGACGAUCCGUAGCUGGUCUGAGAGGAUGAUCAGCCACACUGGGACUGAGACACGGCCCAGACUCCUACGGGAGGCAGCAGUGGGGAAUAUUGGACAAUGGGCGCAAGCCUGAUCCAGCCAUGCCGCGUGAGUGAUGAAGGCCCUAGGGUUGUAAAGCUCUUUCAUCGGUGAAGAUAAUGACGGUAACCGGAGAAGAAGCCCCGGCUAACUUCGUGCCAGCAGCCGCGGUAACAC